GGCUCGGUGGUGGAUGGUUCACACCUGUUUCUUGUCAGUGAAUUGAAAUCGCUCCCCAUCAUGCAAGCAGGAGAAGUACGUUCGAUUCGUGCCUGGGCCA